AGGUUUGCUGCACAGUGUAAAUAAAUAAAAAUAAAAAAUCUUAAGCGACACGUCAUUAUUUGAAUACAAACCUAAAAUACACGUACACACGUACAAAUAUCUCAAGUAAUUGAAUAUGAAACUCUGAUGACUCAAUAAAUCUUGGAACAUCAGUCUCAAAUAAACAUUUGGUGAGAACGAACAUUUCUGCAGCGGACUUAAUUUUUUUUAUAAAUAUUUUAUUUUUGCAAAAAAAUGAAAUUUAUUGCAAUAAUAUUAUUAGUAUUGUUCGCUCUGAUUCUGGCAAAUAUUGAGGCAAAUACGGUUUUAGAAGAGGAGGGCAAAAAUGUUGUAACAGACACUGAUCCCAAUGAAAGUGUGAGUGAUGAGUCCAACCUAAAUCUGGAUGAACAGAAUGUUAAAACUAAUUAUUAUAAGUUAUGCGAUUGGUAAUAUGUUUUAUUACCGCAAAUGUUGUUUUCAUAAAAAAACAGGCGUAACGUGAUAAGUCUAGAGUAUUUUUAAAUAACAAAAUAAAUAUGACAUCCCAACAGA